rnacentral:lncRNA from 10 species
GCGGCGGCGGCGCGCGGAGACGCAGCAGCGGCAGCGGCAGCAUGUCGGCCGGCGGAGCGUCAGUCCCGCCGCCCCCGAACCCCGCCGUGUCCUUCCCGCCGCCCCGGGUCACCCUGCCCGCCGGCCCCGACAUCCUGCGGACCUACUCGGGCGCCUUCGUCUGCCUGGAGAUUUGACUUGUGGAGUAAUUUGGAUAUCUAGAUACUGAAAUGCAAUGUACAGAUGAUUCUGUGGUGACAGAAACCAAGUGUAACCUGUUUACCAUUUGAUUCCCAGCACCUGGCAUAGUGCCUGAAAUGUAGUAGCUGUUCGGGGGUCUUGUCUGGAUUUUGGUUGCCUCCUCCAAUGUUCCUCUACCUCUACUACAAGGAUGGGUCAUGUUUGUGUCCGUGACAGCGUUUUUCUUUUCGCUCCUCUUUCUGGGCAUGUUCCUCUCUGGCAUGGUGGCUCAAAUUGAUGCUAACUGGAACUUCCUGGAUUUUGCCUACCAUUUUACAGUAUUUGUCUUCUAUUUUGGAGCCUUUUUAUUGGAAGCAGCAGCCACAUCCCUGCAUGAUUUGCAUUGCAAUACAACCAUAACCGGGCAGCCACUCCUGAGUGAUAACCAGUAUAACAUAAACGUAGCAGCCUCAAUUUUUGCCUUUAUGACGACAGCUUGUUAUGGUUGCAGUUUGGGUCUGGCUUUACGAAGAUGGCGACCGUAACACUCCUUAGAAACUGGCAGUCGUAUGUUAGUUUCACUUGUCUACUUUAUAUGUCUGAUCAAUUUGGAUACCAUUUUGUCCAGAUGCAAAAACAUUCCAAAAGUAAUGUGUUUAGUAGAGAGAGACUCUAAGCUCAAGUUCUGGUUUAUUUCAUGGAUGGAAUGUUAAUUUUAUUAUGAUAUUAAAGAAAUGGCCUUUUAUUUUACAUCUCUCCCCUUUUUCCCUUUCCCCCUUUAUUUUCCUCCUUUUCUUUCUGAAAGUUUCCUUUUAUGUCCAUAAAAUACAAAUAUAUUGUUC